CAGUAGCCGCGGGAAUACAGAGGGUGCGAGCGUUAAUCGGAUUUACUGGGCGUAAAGCGUGCGUAGGCGGCUUUUUAAGUCGGAUGUGAAAUCCCUGAGCUUAACUUAGGAAUUGCAUUCGAUACUGGGAAGCUAGAGUAUGGGAGAGGAUGGUAGAAUUCCAGGUGUAGCGGUGAAAUGCGUAGAGAUCUGGAGGAAUACCGAUGGCGAAGGCAGCCAUCUGGCCUAAUACUGACGCUGAGGUACGAAAGCAUGGGGAGCAAACAGGAUUAGAUACCCCAGUAGUCCCUGUCUUUUAUAU
rnacentral:rRNA from 1 species